rnacentral:rRNA from 1 species
AUUGAACGCUGGCGGCAUGCCUUACACAUGCAAGUCGAACGGCAGCACGGGAGCAAUCCUGGUGGCGAGUGGCGAACGGGUGAGUAAUAUAUCGGAACGUGCCCGGUCGUGGGGAUAACGUAGCGAAAGCUACGCUAAUACCGCAUACGAUCUACGGAUGAAAGCGGGGGAUCGCAAGACCUCGCGCGAUUGGAGCGGCCGAUAUCAGGUUAGGUAGUUGGUGAGGUAAAGGCUCACCAAGCCGACGAUCUGUAGCUGGUCUGAGAGGACGACCAGCCACACUGGGACUGAGACACGGCCCAGACUCCUACGGGAGGCAGCAGUGGGGAAUUUUGGACAAUGGGCGCAAGCCUGAUCCAGCAAUGCCGCGUGCAGGAUGAAGGCCUCGG